GACGUAGGGUGCAAGCGUUGUCCGGAAUUAUUGGGCGUAAAGAGCUCGUAGGCGGUGUGUCGCGUCGGCCGUGAAAACCUGUAGCUUAACUGUGGGCUUGCGGUCGAUACGGGCAUCACUGGAGUUCGGCAGGGGAGACUGGAAUUCCUGGUGUAGCGGUGAAAUGCGCAGAUAUCAGGAGGAACACCGGUGGCGAAGGCGGGUCUCUGGGCCGAUACUGACGCUGAGGAGCGAAAGCGUGGGGAGCGAACAGG
rnacentral:rRNA from 1 species